rnacentral:lncRNA from 1 species
AUUCCCACGGGACCGUGGUUCUAGGUACAGCGUAAUAAUGAUUCUAUCAGCUGUCAGCCAUUUUCAACAGCCUGUCAUGGUGAGUGGGACACGCGGCGAGUGUAGGUCGGCCAGAGGAGAUCCGCAAUCAUUACUGCACCGGGCCCUGUUGCCUAUUUAAACCCGCUCCCCCCUUUCAGGAAUUUCACUUUGCCUCUUGUUGGUGCCCUUCUUCUUCUUCCCUGAGAGCU